CCAACCGGGCUAAAUUUUUGACGUUUGGGUUUCGCCUGUUUUCACCGUUUUCACUCUCAGCAACCAACCGCUAUGAAAAAAGAAAAAAAAAUGUUUUUGUUGUUCGUCGCAGACGCAGUACGGACGGGUACGAUCGUGAACUUAGCAGUAUCAAAAUCAUUUUACAGCAAAAGUGUUUUUUUCGUUAUUUAGUAAUAGUUGCGGCCAAUAAUCAUCUCCACAAUCAACAAAUUAUCCAGGAGGAGCAGCUUUUGCAUCUGGUGUUCUACGGCUAGCCCGGAACGAGUAACACCAGUACGAUUCUGGCGUGCGCCCGGCAGCUGUACAAACCGCAGUACAACCAGAUAGUGCUGGAGCUGAACGUUUCCGAUGACCGUGUUGUCAACAUCGUCCGCAAUCAGGUCCUGAGCUUUGCCUCGACGAGGACGAUUUUCAGCGGCUACAAGCUAAUUGUCCUGGACGAAGCGGAUGCCAUGACCAACGAAGCGCAGAACGCUCUGAGGCGAAUCGUCGAGAAGUAAACGGACAAUGUGGGGUUCUGUAUUAUCAGUAACUACCCGAGCAAGAUCAUUCCGGUGCUGCAGUCAAGGUGCACUCGAUUCUGCCGCGGUUGGAGCACGUAAUCGAAGCUGAAGGGAUAAAGGUGUCGGCGGAUGGGAAGAAGGCGCUGAUGACACUGGCCGGAGGCGAUAUGUGGAAGGUGCCGGUAUUUACUGAUAUGUAAGUUUUAAUCGGGUGAUAAUUAUUGACUGUGGUAAACAUA